CCCGGGGUUGAAAUCCCAGGCUAUUAUCUAUCGUCCCUACGGGACU
rfam:Desulfobacteraceae bacterium 4484_190.1 ex4484_190.1_scaffold_5486, whole genome shotgun sequence.